rnacentral:lncRNA from 1 species
AUGAUAAGGACCUCCCUCCUGGCCUUUCUCCUCUCUCCACGCCCCCGGCGGCACCCCCCCACCCCCGCCCCCAGGCCUUUGUCGGAGACUGGAUUUUGCAUUUUCCUUUCCAGGUGGGCGGCGGGAAGUGGGGGUGGGGCACCGGCCUCGCUGAAGGUCGGUGGUCUACUCGGCCGGGCGGCAGCCGCUGUCCUAGCCCCACCCGAGCCAUCCCGGCGCACUCACCUCUCUCGGGUCCGGGUGCCGGAGGCCAGGCCGCGGGUCCGUCCCGCCCGGCUGGGCCCGACGCCGGCGGGCGGGAGGAAAGGACUGCCGCGCGGCGGCGGCGGGACCCGGGUCCGGCGGGGGCGUGGUGUGGACCGCGCUGCGCUCGGGCUACGGCUCCCGCUCGCCCGCGCGUCUCGCCGCCACCUGGAGGCGGAGGAGGGGGCGGAGGCUCGCGGCGGCCAGGGCAGGGUGCGGCUUCCCGGAGGGCUCCUCAGGGCCAUUGCUCUCCCGUGGGGAACGCGGAGGGGCCCGGGGGCUUCUUCUCCACCUGCUCAUUUGGGGUCUCUUGCGGAUGGAGAGGUCCCCCAUGCUGUCAACCUCCCCAGGCUCACUCCUGCCCUAGCUCCAGGGAGAAGGGCAAGAAGAGAGAAUGGAAGAAACGAGAAGCCGGAGGCAGCCUCCAGACUUGACCCGAGUGGCCUCCUGUGUGCCCUUGUGCGGAGGAACACUGCGAGGAACACUGCGCACACCUGCGUCUCUGCCAGGACGGUCAGCUCUGCACACCAGCUGCUCUGCUCUUUGAUGUUCCUCCUUCUUGGCCCAUUCUUCUCGGUUGUUCUGUCUCUUCCGCUUUUCAGCCCAUCCCUUAAAGGCGGUGCUCUCAGUGGUGCGCUGAGCCAACCUGUACUGACCUGUGAGAGCAGGUUAGUGAAUUUCCCAGAAUUUUCCAAGCCAGUUGUUAAACAGGGCCAUCAUUAAAAAUGAGUUUAUGUAAAGCUGCGAGUAAUUUAUGUUAAAAGCCAUAGUAAUAAAUACUCAAAAUGUGUCUCUUCUUAAUUAUUU